CAGUUACAAGUUGCUGGAGGGCAGCUGGUAUUAACUCAUCACCAGGGAGAGAGCACAGACAGGCAGGGGCAUGUAGUGCUCACUGGUCCUGUUCCUUCUCAUCCUUCCAGCAACUCCAAGAAAACAAUCUGAACCUAAGACAACAGACGCAGCUGCACCUGGGACAGCAGACACAGCUGGGCCUGGGACAAUGGACACAGCUGUACCUAGAAAAGCAGAAACAGCUGUGCCUGGGAAAAGGAACACAGCUGUGCCUGGAACAGCAGACCCAGCUUCACCUGGGACAGCAGACACAGCAGAACCUAUGAGAACAACCACUCCAACAGUUCUGGCCUCCUGGCCUUCUCUCACCCAGAGCACCAACAGCACCCAGCCCACGGCUCUUACCAGCCCCCUCACCAGGAUCCUGCUCUGCAACAUCCACUUCCUGCUCCCGAUCUCCCUGAAGGGGCUGCUGCUCGUGGGCCUGCUCUGCACUGUGCUGCAAGUGAGCAGUGCUAAGGGGGCCUCCAGGGGGAAAUAAAGUCACAGCCUGAGCCGGGGAACCGCAGCUCCCACACCAUCAACACCCUCGGAGGGGGCAAGCAGAACCUCUGGCCUCCUAUCAGGUAAUAAGCAGCAAUUGCAGUUCCCCAGGAGACAAGGGUCCCUGCAGAGAUGAAAUAUCCCUCAUCCUGGCCUCAGGAAGGCAAUCCCACUCCCAGCUGGCUCUGCACAGCACAGGGAUGCUGACGGGGCCUCUCUGCCUUCUGCCACCUCUGCCUCAGGAGCAGAUAAAAGAAAGGACAUCCCCCUUGCACACUGAUUCCUUGGAGGCAUCUGCAUCUCACCUUCAUGGAUCCUCCCUCAGGCCUCCUUUCCUUGUGGCUCCAGGAUGACCCUGUCAGAGAUACUGGACUAUCGUUCAGUUGCAGAGGCCCCAGGGCCUGUCUGGACUUUUCCAUCCCAAGAGGGGCUCGGCUCUAUCCCCUUUGUGCCUGUGACCCUCUCCAUCCCCCACCCGGCUCAGAACUGGCACAGCCACCACCAACCACUCCUGAUUCAACCCAAGCUUCGCCCUUUCCACCUCUCGAGCUGUGCAACAACAAAUGCAGGAUGCUCAGCCCUCAUGUGUCAGUCCCCUCAAUUCACUUGUAAUUAAAUAACAACACACCUCUUUUUCUAAUUUUCAAAGGUGUAUAUAUUUCCCCUCAAUAAAGUUGUUAGGAUUAUUUUUCUCUUCCACUUA
rnacentral:lncRNA from 1 species